rnacentral:rRNA from 1 species
GAUGAACGCUGGCGGCGUGCCUAAUACAUGCGAGUCGAGCGAACGGACGAGAAGCUUGCUUCUCUGAUGUUAGCGGCGGACGGGUGAGUAACACGUGGAUAACCUACCUAUAAGACUGGGAUAACUUCGGGAAACCGGAGCUAAUACCGGAUAAUAUUUUGAACCGCAUGGUUCAAAAGUGAAAGACGGUCUUGCUGUCACUUAUAGAUGGAUCCGCGCUGCAUUAGCUAGUUGGUAAGGUAACGGCUUACCAAGGCAACGAUGCAUAGCCGACCUGAGAGGGUGAUCGGCCACACUGGAACUGAGACACGGUCCAGACUCCUACGGGAGGCAGCAGUAGGGAAUCUUCCGCAAUGGGCGAAAGCCUGACGGAGCAACGCCGCGUGAGUGAUGAAGGUCUUCGGAUCGUAAAACUCUGUUAUUAGGGAAGAACAUAUGUGUAAGUAACUGUGCACAUCUUGACGGUACCUAAUCAGAAAGCCACGGCUAACUACGUGCCAGCAGCCGCGGUAAUACGUAGGUGGCAAGCGUUAUCCGGAAUUAUUGGGGCGUAAAGCGCGCGUAGGCGGUUUUUUAAGUCUGAUGUGAAAGCCCACGGCUCAACCGUGGAGGGUCAUUGGAAACUGGAAAACUUGAGUGCAGAAGAGGAAAGUGGAAUUCCAUGUGUAGCGGUGAAAUGCGCAGAGAUAUGGAGGAACACCAGUGGCGAAGGCGACUUUCUGGUCUGUAACUGACGCUGAUGUGCGAAAGCGUGGGGAUCAAACAGGAUUAGAUACCCUGGUAGUCCACGCCGUAAACGAUGAGUGCUAAGUGUUAGGGGGUUUCCGCCCCUUAGUGCUGCAGCUAACGCAUUAAGCACUCCGCCUGGGGAGUACGACCGCAAGGUUGAAACUCAAAGGAAUUGACGGGGACCCGCACAAGCGGUGGAGCAUGUGGUUUAAUUCGAAGCAACGCGAAGAACCUUACCAAAUCUUGACAUCCUUUGACAACUCUAGAGAUAGAGCUUUCCCCUUCGGGGGACAAAGUGACAGGUGGUGCAUGGUUGUCGUCAGCUCGUGUCGUGAGAUGUUGGGUUAAGUCCCGCAACGAGCGCAACCCUUAAGCUUAGUUGCCAUCAUUAAGUUGGGCACUCUAAGUUGACUGCCGGUGACAAACCGGAGGGAGGUGGGGAUGACGUCAAAUCAUCAUGCCCCUUAUGAUUUGGGCUACGCACGUGCUACAAUGGACAAUACAAAGGGCAGCGAAACCGUGAGGUCAAGCAAAUCCCAUAAAGUUGUUCUCAGUUCGGAUUGUAGUCUGCAACUCGACUACAUGAAGCUGGAAUCGCUAGUAAUCGUAGAUCAGCAUGCUACGGUGAAUACGUUCCCGGGUCU